GUCCACCCUUUCCCAAGGUCACCAGUAAGCGUUUUAUAUGUAGAUUCCCAUCAACAAACAAUCACCAAUUAUCUACUAACAUCUCCUUUUAUAUUCGUAGAUUAAUCAAACGACAUUUAAGUAAAUAACACAUUUUUUUAUACCUUAACAACUAAGAAACAUAAUUAAGGUUUUUAUUUCAAAUCAAUCAAUCAGAUAAAAAUCAUAAUCAGGUCAUU
rnacentral:lncRNA from 1 species